CAAUAGCGUAUAUUAAAGUUGUUGCAGUUAAAAAGCUCGUAGUUGGAUUUCUGGUGGGAGCGAUCGGUCUGGCGCUUAGCGCGAGUACUUGCAUCGUCUCCGGCCAUCCUUGGGGAGAGUCUGUCUGGCAUUAGGUUGUCGGGCAGAGGAUCCUCAUCGUUUACUGUGAAAGAAUUAGAGUGUUCAAAGCAGGCUUAUGCCGUUGAAUAUAUUAGCAUGGAAUAAUAAGAUAGGACUUUGGUACUACUUUGUUGGUUUGCGCACCAAAGUAAUGAUUAAUAGGGACAGUUGGGGGUAUUCGUAUUCCGUUGUCAGAGGUGAAAUUCUUGGAUUUACGGAGGACGAACUACUGCGAAAGCAUUUACCAAGGAUGUUUUCAUUAA
rnacentral:rRNA from 1 species